rnacentral:rRNA from 1 species
AUUGAACGCUGGCGGCAGGCCUAACACAUGCAAGUCGAACGAGUGGCGGACGGGUGAGUAAUGUCUGGUAAACUGCCUGAUGGAGGGGGAUAACUACUGGAAACGGUAGCUAAUACCGCAUACCAUCAGAUGUGCCCAGAUGGGAUUAGCUGGUAGGUGGGGUAACGGCUCACCUAGGCGACGAUCCCUAGCUGGUCUGAGAGGAUGACCAGCAACACUGGAACUGAGACACGGUCCAGACUCCUACGGGAGGCAGCAGUGGGGAAUAUUGCACAAUGGGCGAAAGCCUGAUGAAGCCAGGCCGCGGGUGUGAAGAAGGCCUUCGGGUUGUAAAGCACUUUCAGCGGGGAGGCGUUACCCGAAGAAGAAGCACCGGCUAACGCCGUGCCAGCAGCCGCGGUAAUUC